rnacentral:rRNA from 1 species
UACGUAGGUGGCAAGCGUUGUCCGGAAUUAUUGGGCGUAAAGCGCGCGCAGGCGGUCCUUUAAGUCUGAUGUGAAAGCCCCGCGGCUCAACCGUGGAGGGUCAUUGGAAACUGGGGGACUUGAGUACAGAAGAGAAGAGUGGAAUUCCACGUGUAGCGGUGAAAUGCGUAGAGAUGUGGAGGAACACCAGUGGCGAAGGCGACUCUUUGGUCUGUAACUGACGCUGAGGCGCGAAAGCGUGGGGAGCAAACAGG